rnacentral:snRNA from 1 species
AGCUACACAGUGAUCACAUAGCGAACUAUUCUUUUGCCUUUUACUAAAGAAUACAGUGUGCAUGUUGCAAUUCAAGUAAAAUAUGCCUAGGGGUGGAAAUCAGAAUGGAAUUUCCGAAUUCCGU